UUUUUCAUAAACUCUUGUUCUUCGAGUAUUUACGCAAGAGCAGCCACGGAGAAGAGUCUCUAUGACUUCACUAUAAAGUCGCAGGCCAUCUCUACUCCCCAUGUCUCCGUUCUCUUGUCGGCGGUUUCCUCCACUCCUUCGCGGCCUCCAAGAUUGUCUGCUGCUUCAGGAUGUGUACAGUUUCUGCAUUCUAGCACACUAAAAAGACAACAUCGAGGAAACAAGAACACCAAGAAGAAAACACCAGAACAACA